rnacentral:tRNA from 1 species
GGAGAGGUGGCCGAGUGGUUUAAGGCGCUCGCCUGGAAAGCGGGUGUAGGGUUAAACCUACCGUGAGUUCGAAUCUCAUCCUCUCCGCCA